rnacentral:misc_RNA from 1 species
CCGAGUUUACAACUCCCAAACCCCUGCGAACAUACCCUUAUGUUGCCUCGGCGGAUCAGCCCGCGCCCGUAAAACGGGACGGCCCGCCAGAGGAACCCCUAAACUCUGUUUCUAUAGUGGAACUUCUGAGUAAAAACCAUAAAUAAAUCA